UGCAAGUCGAACGAUGAUCCCCAGCUUGCUGGGGGGAUUAGUGGCGAACGGGUGAGUAACACGUGAGUAACCUGCCCUUGACUCUGGGAUAAGCGUUGGAAACGACGUCUAAUACCGGAUAUGACUCCUGGCCGCAUGGUCUGGGGGUGGAAAGAUUUUUUGGUCAAGGAUGGACUCGCGGCCUAUCAGGUAGUUGGUGAGGUAAUGGCUCACCAAGCCGACGACGGGUAGCCGGCCUGAGAGGGUGACCGGCCACACUGGGACUGAGACACGGCCCAGACUCCUACGGGAGGCAGCAGUGGGGAAUAUUGCACAAUGGGCGAAAGCCUGAUGCAGCAACGCCGCGUGAGGGACGACGGCCUUCGGGUUGUAAACCUCUUUUAGUAGGGAAGAAGGGAGCUUGCUCUUGACGGUACCUGCAGAAAAAGCACCGGCUAACUACGUGCCAGCAGCCGCGGUAAUACGUAGGGUGCAAGCGUUGUCCGGAAUUAUUGGGCGUAAAGAGCUCGUAGGCGGUUUGUCGCGUCUGCUGUGAAAUCUGGGGGCUCAACCCCCAGCCUGCAGUGGGUACGGGCAGACUAGAGUGCGGUAGGGGAGAUUGGAAUUCCUGGUGUAGCGGUGGAAUGCGCAGAUAUCAGGAGGAACACCGAUGGCGAAGGCAGAUCUCUGGGCCGUAACUGACGCUGAGGAGCGAAAGCAUGGGGAGCGAACAGGAUUAGAUACCCUGGUAGUCCAUGCCGUAAACGUUGGGAACUAGAUGUAGGGGCCAUUCCACGGUUUCUGUGUCGCAGCUAACGCAUUAAGUUCCCCGCCUGGGGAGUACGGCCGCAAGGCUAAAACUCAAAGGAAUUGACGGGGGCCCGCACAAGCGGCGGAGCAUGCGGAUUAAUUCGAUGCAACGCGAAGAACCUUACCAAGGCUUGACAUAUACCGGAAACGUCCAGAGAUGGUCGCCCCGCAAGGUCGGUAUACAGGUGGUGCAUGGUUGUCGUCAGCUCGUGUCGUGAGAUGUUGGGUUAAGUCCCGCAACGAGCGCAACCCUCGUUCUAU
rnacentral:rRNA from 1 species